AUACUUACCUGGCAGGGGAAAUACCAUGAUCACUAAGGUGGUUUUCCGAGGGCAAGGCUCAUCCAUUGCACUCCGGAUGUGCUGACCCCUGCGAUUUCCCCAAAUGUGGGAAACUCAUAAUUCGUGGUAGAUGGGGACUACCUGCGUGCCGUCCCUCU